rnacentral:rRNA from 1 species
UCAUGCCUACGGGGGGCAGCAGUGGGGAAUAUUGCGCAAUGGGGGCAACCCUGACGCAGCAACGCCGCGUGCGGGAUGAAGGCUUUCGGGUUGUAAACCGCUUUCAGCAGGGAUGACAUCGACAGUACCUGCAGAAGAAGCCCCGGCUAACUACGUGCCAGCAGCCGCGGUAAUACGUAGGGGGCGAGCGUUAUCCGGAUUCAUUGGGCGUAAAGCGCGCGCAGGCGGGCUUGCAAGCGGGGCCUUUAAUCUUGGGGCUUAACCUCAAUACGGGU